CCCCCCACCAUGAGGGAUAAUGCGCGUUGAUUGGCUUUUCGUCCUAUCGCUCUUGACUGUGACCAAUCAGAGCCACAAGCGGUGACCAGACGGGCCGGGUGGGGGCGGGGCCUCGCCGCUCGGUGCCCAGCGUGGUGGGGCGCUGAGGUACUUCCCGCCCUCACUGCGCCGCAGCAGCUGAUAGUCUGUCCCUUCGCACCUCUUCUCCACCGGGAGAGCCCCCGGGAAAGCCAUUUUUCUUCCCAAAGGGAAACUUAGGCCAGUUUCCCAGAGGGUCUGAUGGCACGAAAAGGCUGAGGAGCCUCAAGGCUGGCCCAGUGCCUCUGAGAAGCGGGUGAAGUCAUGGCCUGUUGCUUUGAUAAGAGGUGCUGUUCUCCUCCUGUUGGCUUCAGGUGACUCAGCAGUAGUAUGUGGCUGACAUUAAAUUAGAGUCACGUUUACGUAACACGUCAUAGUUUCGACGAGCUGUAACCACAGAGCUGAUGGGAGACUGUGGGGGUGUUUUUACCUCAGAAGGUUCUCUGUUGGGGCUGCCCACGCAGCCGAGAAGCAACUGAAGGGACUCUGCUUUCUUUUUGAGCUGCUUAAAACACAAGUGCUGUAAAAGAAGCGCCGAUUCAGAAUUACAGAAGUGGUGAGAAGAAAAAGGAGACGUCAAGUAGUGCAGAGAGACAGAAACUCAGAUAUUAAACUUUCAGCAGAUGGAAUGAGUGCCCAUGUGCAAGCUUUGGUAGCAGAACAGCUUCAGGGGUUGGCCUUCGUGAGAAGAGACCUCCAUCUCCAACAGAGCCAGUGAUCUCUGAAAUACACCUGCUGCAGGAUAAAGAUCGAAAAGAAAUAUCUUCCUGGCAGCACUGCGUAUGGAAGGAAUAAGGAAAGUAACAAGGAGAAAGUUGCGCGCAUUUACAAGUCAAGAGAGCUGAUCCUGCUCCUCUGCUCAGCAGUGGUGAGGCUGAAACCAGAGUGCUGUGUCCAGUUCUGGCUCCCCAGUAGAAGAGAGAUCUGGACAUACUGGAGGAAGUACAACAUUGAGCCACCAAGAUAAUGAAGGGUCUGGAGCAUCUCUGUUAUGAGGAGAGGCCAAGACAAGCUGGUGCCUGGUGGCUCUGGUCUGUGUUGGUACCUACUGAUGGCCAGCCUGUGUGAGAGCGGACAAGAAAUACUGAACCACUGAACAGAAACAUCAUCUUUGCCUACAAGGACAGCAUCCCCAUUGCCUCGAUUUGAUUGUGAUAGUCCCCAAACAGGUGGCAGCCAAGAGGGGCGAGCACAGGGCCACUUUUCUUUUUACAAAGUGAACAUAAAAUGCAGUCACUUAAGCUGGUUGGGGGCCGUCUGGUACUGUUAAAUUUUUUAAUAACCUUCU
rnacentral:lncRNA from 1 species